rnacentral:rRNA from 1 species
AUUGAACGCUGGCGGCAUGCCUUACACAUGCAAGUCGAACGGUAACAGGUCUUCGGAUGCUGACGAGUGGCGAACGGGUGAGUAAUACAUCGGAACGUGCCCGAGAGUGGGGGAUAACGAAGCGAAAGCUUUGCUAAUACCGCAUACGAUCUCAGGAUGAAAGCAGGGGACCGCAAGGCCUUGCGCUCACGGAGCGGCCGAUGGCAGAUUAGGUAGUUGGUGGGAUAAAAGCUUACCAAGCCGACGAUCUGUAGCUGGUCUGAGAGGACGACCAGCCACACUGGGACUGAGACACGGCCCAGACUCCUACGGGAGGCAGCAGUGGGGAAUUUUGGACAAUGGGCGCAAGCCUGAUCCAGCCAUGCCGCGUGCAGGAUGAAGGCCUUCGGGUUGUAAACUGCUUUUGUACGGAACGAAAAGACUCUGGUUAAUACCUGGGGUCCAUGACGGUACCGUAAGAAUAAGCACCGGCUAACUACGUGCCAGCAGCCGCCGUAAUAC